rnacentral:rRNA from 1 species
GACGAACGCUGGCGGCGUGCUUAACACAUGCAAGUCGAACGAUGAAGCUGGAGCUUGCUCCGGUGGAUUAGUGGCGAACGGGUGAGUAACACGUGAGCAAUCUGCCCUUGACUCUGGGAUAACUGCGGGAAACUGUAGCUAAUACCGGAUACUUUCACUGGAAGGCACCUUCUGGUGAAGAAAGAAUUUCGGUCAGGGAUGAGCUCACGGCCUAUCAGCUUGUUGGUGAGGUAACGGCUCACCAAGGCGACGACGGGUAGCCGGCCUGAGAGGGUGACCGGCCACACUGGGACUGAGACACGGCCCAGACUCCUACGGGAGGCAGCAGUGGGGAAUAUUGCACAAUGGGCGCAAGCCUGAUGCAGCAACGCCGCGUGAGGGAUGAAGGCCUUCGGGUUGUAAACCUCUUUUAGCAGGGAAGAAGCGAAAGUGACGGUACCUGCAGAAAAAGCACCGGCUAACUACGUGCCAGCCGCCGCCGUAA